rnacentral:lncRNA from 1 species
GAGUUCCCGGAAGGGGUCAGCCAGUUCAGUAAACAGAUUGGCUGGUUCGUCGUCACAGCUGAGCCGGGCGGGCCUGCAGCUCAAGAGGCAGGAGAUGGAGGCUGGUGGCCAAGGGGACACAGGAACUGCCCCCGGCCCCAUUCGGGGCUGGCACCUCCCAGGGCAGCCUGGCCCAGGCUCUGCAGAUGAAAGGAGAAACCAAGGCCCAGAGAGGGCAAGGCAGUUGCCAGAGAUCACACAGCAGGUCCGGGGCGCGGACCUAGAAUUCUGGUCUUAUCAUCCAGUGCUCUCAGCAUCACUCUGACUGAUGGGCAGGGGGGGACAAAUCACCUCAAAUUGUAACCUAAGCCCCCCAAGCCCCCAAAUCCUAACCUGGACCCUAAGGCCAGUGUGUUGGAUGAAGGGAGAAAUAAAUGGAAGGCAACUUGGGAAGGAAGCAACUUUGAGGGGUUACUGGGCUGUCCCCUGUGGUCGAUCCUAUAAUCAUAGUAACUGCUUCUAGUGUUUCUUGAGCAUCUAUUAUGUACAGGGCAUUACCAUAAGUGCCUUCCAUAAAUCCACCCAUUUAAUAUUCAGCCACCUUUAUACGAAUAAACACAGGCAUCACGUUUAAAGCAUCCACUGAGUGCCAGGCACUGAGCUGGGUGAUUGACAUACACCACCCGGGAUCCUCUGCGGACCUUGCCAGGGAGGCAUCGCCGUCACCCCUGUUCAUCAGAUGAGGAAACAGAUGCCCAGGAGGGCGAGCAGCUGAGGUGUAUGGUGGGAGAACAGCAGGCUCCAGAGUCGACUAGACCCAGGGAUUCAAAUCUUUACUUUUACCCUUCCUGCUGUAUGGCCUCAGGCAAGUGACUCCACCUCUCAGAGCCUCAGUUUACCCAUCUGGUAAAUGGGGAUGAUUAUGGUACUGGAAACACUGGAGCCAGACUUGGUGGGAGCUCGUGAGUGUCAUGAUAGGGCAGUGGCUGGAGUGCAGACUUUUGGGUUGAAUCUUGCUGUGCCCCUUCUUGGCUGUGUAACCUCGGGCAUGCCGCUUAGCCUCUCUGGGACUCAGUGUCCUCUGUAAAAUGGACAUAGCACCUCCCUCAUGCGGCAGGUGGGAAGAAUGAAUGAGCAGAAAUCCCCGCAGCCUUCUGUGCGAGGCCAGGUAUUCUGCAGCCACUGAACGCAGGUGACUUGUUCUUAUAUUUCACCUAUGAUGGCUCCACUGGGACUGGGGUGAGGGGAAGGACACUAGACCAUGGGCAGAAGGACAAGGCACCCACAUUCUUUGCUGCCCUUUUGCACCCACAAACAAUCUGGAAAGGGAAGCUCAGCCUUGCCUGCCUCCUUGAGGGUCGGGGCUGAGGCUUGGCGUGAAUGGUUGCCAUGGCAUCCUCCCCACCUCCCCACCAGCCACUCUGCCUUGCUAUGGACUCCACGUUCCUCCCCUACUUAAAACCCUCUAGGGCUCCCCAUUCCUCUUCUCGUGUACUACUCCCCAGUUUGGCUGAGCCCCAGACAGGCCUUAUCAUGGCUCUUUGGUUCUUGGCACCCCAGCCCCAGCCCCCUUGGUACAAACUCUCACACUCAUCAUUCCCACCUCACCCUUGUGCACACACAGGGCCCUUCACCCGGCAUGCCCUCACUUUCCCUAACCCACCUGCCUGGUCUGGAUUUCACCCACCCUUCAACGCACGUAUUCAAAACCUCCUCCUCCAGGGAGACUGCCCUGAUCCUCCCC